rnacentral:lncRNA from 1 species
AAUUGAUUAUAAGCGCCAUUUGGCGCACUGCAAAUGGUGUUGAGGCUGCAGCGAAGCCCUCGGGGCUGAACGACCCCUCGGAACACUUAAAACUGGGAAGUUUGRGAAAUAAUUUUGUUGCUAUACCUUUUGAUUUCCCCCCCCCACACACACUCCUUUUUCUGAAAGUCUUAAACAUGGGAACUUUUGCUUUCAAAAAACGUAUAUAUCCUUUCUUUGGGUUCCUCUUUCAGUGACUGCCAGAUCCAGAGUAGCAGGAGGUAAAACAUGAGGUAAAAAAGGAAGGUUCAAGUUGUGCCUGUGUGCAAUGGGAGAGGAGGGACUGCCCGGCUUGGCCUGCGCGCCCGGAAAGCGCCGUUCCCCUAAGGAAGCGGGCUGUGAGGGGCCACACCGAAGAGGAGUAAGGGGUUUUUCUCAGCGCAGUUCCAGUCCCUUAGCGUUGCAAAGGUGCUAUCCAUGUCUGUCUCGCUUGGAACACCAAUCCAAAGGAACCAGCUCUGAGAAGAUGGAUGUCAGACACAUAAGUGAAUUAGUCAUAUCUGUGAUGGCAAGAUUUCUGUUCUGUGACACUUUGCUAAAUGUCAGAGUCACAUUCCUACCCAGCUACAGCUGCUUCACUCUGUGUAACUUCAAUUAAAACCUCAGAAUUCCAAACACUUUGGGGUUUGUCCAGCCUCACCCUGGUUUUAAUUGUGACUUGUGCCUUUUCCAGUGGAAAAGAAAAGCUAUAAACCUGUCAUGGCUAAAUUAUGAGUCACUUCUUUAGCUAGGUGUGGCUACAGCUAUUCURCUCCUUUGACUUCAAGACCAAGAAGUUGGUCAUUACCUAAAAUUUAACAGCAUGGCAAAUUAAACAUGACAUAGAAUUUGUUCAAUUUGUUAAAGCUGAUGUGGAUGCUUUGGGGGAGGAAUGAACAGACCAAAAAACUUUUGUUUUGAAGAAGAAAGUAUAUGAAUUCUGCUGUAAGUUAGAGAAACAUUUAUUUUAACACUGUGGAACAGGCUGCACAGAGAAAUAUUUAAAAGACCUUAUUUGUGGUGAUAUACAAAAAUGUAGGAAACAGCAUUUAUUUCUUGCUGCAACUUUCCUAUUCAGAAGUAAAGAAAGCUUGAAUGAAGAAAAAACCUAUUUUUUUCUCUGACCAUACUGAUUGCAGUACGUUCUUUUGGGAAAAGCAAAAGAGGGGAGGCAGCGCAUUCUGUGUGGACCGAAUUCAUGUCUUAAAAAUAGGAAGAUUGCCAAGCCUUCUGCUUUCAUUGUUAGCUACUGCAGGAAAUACUUCAAUGUUCUAGAAGUGGUGUUAAAAUAAACCCUUGGUGUGGUCUGCUCGGGAAUCCUUG